rnacentral:rRNA from 1 species
GAUGAACGCUGGCGGCAUGCCUAAGACAUGCAAGUCGAACGAGGUGGCCCAUUGAAAUCUGCGUGCUUGCACAAAGAUGGAUUUGGAUUUUCCACCUAGUGGCAAACGGGUGAGUAACACGUGGGUUACCUACCUCUAAGUUGGGGAUAACAACUGGAAACGGUUGAUAAUACCGAAUGUGCUCUACGGAGUAAAGAAGCCUUUAAAGCUUCGCUUAGAGAUGGGCCUGCGGCGUAUUAGUUAGUUGGUGGGGUAACGGCCUACCAAGACGACGAUGCGUAGCCGAACUGAGAGGUUAAUCGGCCACACUGGGACUGAGACACGGCCCAG